UACAGAGGUCUCAAGCGUUGUUCGGAUUCAUUGGGCGUAAAGGGCGCGUAGGCGGCCUUCUAAGUCAGACGUGAAAUCCCCCGGCUUAACCUGGGAACUGCGUCUGAUACUGGGAGGCUUGAGUAUGGGAGAGGGAUGUAGAAUUCCAGGUGUAGCGGUGAAAUGCGUAGAUAUCUGGAGGAACACCAAUUGCGAAGGCAGCUCGCUGGGACGUAACUGACGCUGAGACGCGAAAGCGUGGGGAGCAAACAGGG
rnacentral:rRNA from 1 species